rnacentral:rRNA from 1 species
UACGGGGGGGUGCGAGCGUUGUCCGGAAUCACUGGGCGUAAAGGGCGCGUAGGUGGUUUGAUAAGGGUGUGGUGAAAGUCCGGAGCUCAACUCCGGAUCUGCCGUGCCGACCUGUCAAACUCGAGGGCUGUAGAGGCAGACGGAAUUCCGGGUGUAGCGGUGGAAUGCGUAGAGAUCCGGAGGAAGACCGGUGGCGAAGGCGGUCUGCUGGGCAGUUCUGACACUGAGGCGCGACAGCGUGGGGAGCAACAGG